GGGGUGAAUCCAUAAAAAUGAGUAAGAGUUAGCCACAUGGUGAAGCCAGAGGACAGAAUGAAAGAACAUAUGCAAAAGCAUAAGAGCUGGAGAUUAAAGUCUGAACCUGUGUGAAGAAUUUGGGCAAAGAAAGGCUGCAGAGAAUGGCUGCUUCUGGCCUGGAUCACCACUCUGCCUGAUUCCACCCCCUCUCCCCACACCGUCUGUAAGUUAUCCUGAAUAAAAUUCUGUAUAAAUGGUA